rfam:Patagioenas fasciata monilis isolate BTP2013 Sc31e1R_6, whole genome shotgun sequence.
GGAUGUGAGGGUGAUCUGGCUGCGACAUGUGCUACCCCACUGAUCACCAGAGUGGAUUCGGCUGAUCUGGCUGGCUAGGUGGGUGUCCCCUUCCUCCCUCACUGCUUCAUGUACAUCCCUCCUGAAGGAGCAUGUUUGGUUGAAGAAAAUGGCUUUCCCCAAUAGAGGUGUACCAUUCACUGGUCAAGGGUAUACGGUAGCUGCGCUCCCCUGCUAGAACAUCCAGAUAAGCUUCUGGCAUGAAGAUUCAGGCAUUGUAAAAUCUGUCAUACCUCCUGGAUGAAAGCACAUCAAGGAUGUGAGGUAUGACCUGUGCUGUAC